rnacentral:rRNA from 1 species
UACGUAGGGUCCAAGCGUUAUCCGGAAUCACUGGGCGUAAAGCGUGCGUAGGUGGCGUGUUAAGUGUGAUGUUAAAUCGUGUGGCUCAACCAUAUCGAUGUGUCGCAUACUGGCAUGCUAGAGGGAAGCAGAGGCAAGUGGAAUUUGUAGUGUAGCAGUGAAAUGCGUAGAUAUUACAAGGAACACCAAUGGCGAAGGCAGCUUGCUGGGCAUUUUCUGACGCUAAGGCACGAAAGCGUGGGGAGCGAACAGG